CAGUAAGUAGUUUAAUUAAAAUAUAGUAUUUGGGUUACUAAGAUUGGUUGCUGA
rnacentral:tRNA from 2 species